GGGGCAGCUCAAAAUAAGUCAAUCAUCUUCUUUUAAUAAGGCGAAAGAACUCGAAUUGAAAAAAGAUACAAGACGAACUUCAAGGGCGCUUGCACAAAUUUGAACGGCGCUUGCACCCUCCCACUUUUUAUUGAAUCGGAAAGAUCAAGCAACGAACUUCAAGGGCGGGAAAUAAAAUGGGUUCCUCCCUUACUAUGAGAGCAAUCGGAGCACUGCUUUGCAGAUUCUCAAAUGGCAUCUUAUCCAGACCCAACAAUGCCUUCUUUCUGCAUAGGGCUAGUUUGCUGAGCAGAGCCUUAUCGUCUGCGUCUUCGUUCUCGUCGUUGGAUACGAUCCAAGAGGUGAAUUGUAAUAACAACUUUCAAGCGAGAACGAUAUGGACAUUCCCUCCCGUCUGCAUGGGUAGACGUUCCAGCAAAAUUGCUGGCAGAAAGGAGGCUCAAGAUGCUAAGAAAGCAAAGCUAUACUCACGGAUUGGAAAGGAAGUUGUGUCUGCGGUGAAGAAAGGUGGUCCAAAUCCGACAUCAAAUUCGGUUUUGGCUGCUGUACUUGAGAAAGCCAAGGAACUUGAUGUGCCAAAAGAUAUUGUUGAGCGCAACAUAAAAAAAGCUACCGAGAAGGGACAAGAAGCAUACAUUGAAAAAAUAUACGAGGUAUAUGGUUAUGGUGGAGUUAGUAUGGUGGUUGAAGUCUCUACUGACAAAAUAAAUCGUUCAGUGGCAAAGAUUAGAGAAGUGGUGAAGGAUUAUGGAGGGAAGAUGGCAGAUUCUGGAUCUGUAAUGUUCAAAUUUAGGCGUGUUCGGGUGGUAAAUAUAAAAGUCACUGAUGCUGACAAAGAUCAGCUCCUCGCGAUUGCUCUAGAUGCUGGGGCUGAGGAUGUAAUUGAACCUCCAACUUACGAAGAUGAUACUGAGGAGGAUAGGUUGGAAAGGUAUUAUAAAAUUGUCGGCACAUCAGAGAACUAUUCAGCUAUACUAUCAAAACUGCGAGAGGAAGGCCUAAAUUUUGAGCCUGAUAGUGGUUCUGAGCUUCUUCCGAUUACCACCAUUGAGCCUCAAACCUACUUCAUGUAAGAAGCGAGGAACUGAGACUGUUCAUCUUAUCAACCACAUAAGGAUUUUUCCCCCAUUUGAACCAUUAUUGUAGAUGAUGAGGCUAUGGAGUUGAACAAGGAACUUAUGAGCAAGUUACUAGAGCUUGAUGAUGUUGAUGCUGUUUAUAUAGACCAGAAAUAAUCAUCUCUUAGCUUUAAAGCUGCUCAACUCAGUCAAGUUUUGACAUUGGGAUAACAUACAUGUUUCAUUAGCAAACCAUUAGGUACUCUUGAGUUCUUGCCUUUUGCGGAUCUCACAUGUACGCUCCUUGAUUUGACUUAUGUUUUGUUGGCUUCCACAUUUUUUUGGCGGUUAUUUUGAUGUGGGGUGAGGUGGCCAUAGGUUAUUCUUUCCUAGGACCUCGUAACAGUUAAAACUCUGACUGAGCAGUUCUUAUAACUAUUGUUGUCUUGAAUGACAAAAUGUUUAUUAUUUGAUGAUGAUGAUAAAA